GGCAGGUGGCUGAGUGGCCGAAAGCGCUCCCCUGCUAAGGGAGUAUGGGGUUUGUAGCUCCAUCGAGGGUUCGAAUCCCUCCCUGCC
rnacentral:tRNA from 1 species